CUCCUGAAUUAGGCCUGCUUUCUGCCUUCUCUCACCCCUAGAAGUGGAGACUGAACCACACGGGGACUAGAAGAUGAUGGAGGAGUGCCCACUCGAGCUGAUCAUUUUUGUUGCAAUGUCUCUGCUCUGUGUCUGUCAAACUAGAUGCAUGGAUUUUGAGCAGCAAGCAGCUCCGACAUUUCACUAGAGACUGCCGAGGGAGUGGUGUCCCAGGAAAGCUACGGGGCUAUAAAACUGGAAGGAAGGGAAAGGGUGACAUGGAAACACAGUGGAGAAAAUGCACCUUGGUGACCAGUGCUGCAGACCACGCGGCCCCUGUGUGUUGCAUUUACGGCCACUAUAAAACCACAGCCUGGACAGUGAGAACCCCCUGGACAGGAGAGGCCUCCGCUGAGCUUGCCGGGCACCCUUCCUCCAAAGAGCAGCGAACCGUGGAAUGCAGGAGCUUCAGGACUGGAAAAGACGGAAGGCCCUCUCACAUCAGGGUCACAACAGGUCAGGGUCAAAGCCAGGACUAGAAUGUAGAUCCUAUCGCACUCUAGUCUGCAACCCCAAAGGGACCCACUCUACAAUGACAAGCAGAUGUAGGGUGAGGGAAUGGUGGGAGUGUCAUGGAAGGAUGAUAGUGGCUGCAUCCGGGAGGGCCACAUCCCAGAGAGGUCAAUAGCACCCACACAUAGGUGGUGGCUGGAGCCGGGGUGCCUGCCAUGAGGCCCUGUAAUUACCUGGAUUCAUCCAGCCCAGAGAGGUGAUUUCUUGGUUACCUGGCACACGUUGACCACCUACCUGUGAGCAACUCUGUGCCAGAUAUUUUGGAGAUUCAGAAGACACUGAGACCAGACAUCAUUCUUCUCUGUCUCGAGGCCCUUUCUGCCCAUGGCUGAAAGGGUGUUCUCGCUCUAAAUCUUUGUUCUCAGCUUGCCACAUCCUUUUAGUCUUACCAUGCCAUGUGACUGUUGUUGCCUUGAGUUCUUGUUUCAGAAUAUGUCUAUUUAGUUGUGGGGCCUACAUUUCCCUGACAUCCCUUCCCUUUUGGUUUUGGGUUGGGACUGGCCAGAAGAGAGCUCAAAGAGACUUGGAGGGGGCGUGCUAGUGCAGCCACUGCCAUGCUCUGCAAGGGAGCUCAGGGCAGGUACUGCUGGGGCUCAUGCCUGUCGUCUGUGACCCCUCUGGCUCACCUGCCACAGGGCAGCGCAUGCUGGGACACCACCUUCAGCCUGUGACAUCUGGGGCUGGGGGCACGUGCAGCCCCUCCUGCAGGUGGCCACGUCAUCGCUAUGAGAGGGGUGAGAGGCAGGUGCGGUUCCAGGCUGCUCAGCCUCCCUGUCCAUCUUUCCUUCCUGCUGGACAGCCUCAGGCCCAGCGGCAGAUGCAGAGGCAACAGCCUCCCCCAGAUGGCCUAAGGAGCUCCACGGUUGCACCAGAUCUGCCUCCUAUACUAAGUUCCUUCCUCCAGGCCAGUCACAUCUCUGAUUGAACACUAUCCAAUACCUGUUAUUAUUAAGACCUUUUACAGCUUGAGCCACUCAUGAAAAUUUUAUGUUGCUUCUUAUGGUAUUAUUUUUCCCUACCUUAGAGGUCACUUUUCCAGGCUUAUGGCCUGAAGCAUGACCCCCCAGUCCCCACCUCAUUGCUGACUUUUAUUUAUAUAUUUAUUUUGUGUGUGUUGAAGGAAGGAGGCUCUGUGAUCUGUCUCCUUCUGUUCUCUUUUUUUUCUCACUCAGAAGCCCCAUCAUGACUUUCUCAAGGAUAUGCCUUUCUGUAUUCCCCACACAGCACAGGUGCCCAAGAAGCGCUUGUUGCACUGAAUCGGUGAGCCCUGCCAUCUCCCAUACUGACCAGCUGUGGGCACAAAGGCAGCCACCCCAAAGGCUCAGCCAACUAUAGUUUCUGAGCAAAUGCUGUCCAUGGCAAGCAGGAGCAUAGGACCCCUUUCUUCCCAGCAAGUAGGUACCUGAAUUUUCCUUUUUUUUUUUUUUUUCUUUUGAGACAGAGUUUUACUCUUGUUGCCCAGGCUGGAGUGCAAUGGCGUGAUCUCAGCUGACUGCAACCUCCACCUCCCAGGCUCAAGCAAUUCUCCUGCCUCAGCCUCCUGCGUAGCUGGGAUUACCAGCGCCUGCCACCAUGCCCAGCUAACGUUUUGUAUUUUUAGUAGGGGGCGGGGUUCACCAUGUUGGCCAGGCUGGUCUCGAACUCCUGACGUCAGGUGAUCCAACCGCCUCAGCCUCCCAAAGUGCCGGGACUACAGGCGUGAGCCACCGCGUCUGGCCAAAUUUUCCUUUCUCUCUUGGGUCCAAUAUUCAGUCUGCCUGGGGUGAUUGAUUUGUUGGCUGGAAUCCAGGCAGACAGUCGAAUUGCACUACGUGAUCAUCUAUUUAACCUUCUAAAGGACACUGGGCAGUGGUCUUCUCUGAGCAGUGAUUGGGGAGACGCUUCAUCCUGUGACCACAUAAUCACCCUUCCGCAGCUUUCCUUGUAUUCAGUUAUCCACAUGCCCAGCACGGAAACAGGCACUGGGACAGGAGCUUCCAAGGACUCCAAGGACUCUGGAACACACAUAAGAGAACAUACAGCUCCAACUCACUUAAGUGAUUUAAUUGGUUUAUUGAGCUGUGUAAAGCCAG
rnacentral:lncRNA from 10 species